rnacentral:rRNA from 1 species
GGGGGAUAGCUACUGGAAACGGUAGCUAAUACCGCAUAACGUCGCAAGACCAAAGAGGGGGACCUUCGGGCCUCUUGCCAUCGGAUGUGCCCAGAUGGGAUUAGCUUGUAGGUGAGGUAACGGCUCACCUAGGCGACGAUCCCUAGCUGGUCUGAGAGGAUGACCAGCCACACUGGAACUGAGACACGGUCCAGACUCCUACGGGAGGCAGCAGUGGGGAAUAUUGCACAAUGGGCGCAAGCCUGAUGCAGCCAUGCCGCGUGUAUGAAGAAGGCCUUCGGGUUGUAAAGUACUUUCAGCGGGGAGGAAGGGAGUGAGGUUAAUAACCUCAUUCAUUGACGUUACCCGCAGAAGAAGCACCGGCUAACUCCGUGCCAGCAGCCGCGGUAAUACGGAGGGUGCGAGCGUUAAUCGGAAUUACUGGGCGUAAAGCGCACGCAGGCGGUCUGUCAAGUCGGAUGUGAAAUCCCCGGGCUCAACCUGGGAACUGCAUUCGAAACUGGCAGGCUGGAGUCUUGUAGAGGGGGGUAGAAUUCCAGGUGUAGCGGUGAAAUGCGUAGAGAUCUGGAGGAAUACCGGUGGCGAAGGCGGCCCCCUGGACAAAGACUGACGCUCAGGUGCGAAAGCGUGGGGAGCAAACAGGAUUAGAUACCCUGGUAGUCCACGCUGUAAACGAUGUCGACUUGGAGGUUGUUCCCUUGAGGAGUGGCUUCCGGAGCUAACG